UCUCCUCAAAGGAAAACAAGUCCUUUUCCCCUCCUCUGGCCUGUGCCCUGCAUUCAUCAAGCCCUUAAUCAUCAUGGAUGAGUCGAAGAGAGAAAGAAGGACAUUAAGAUCAGAAAAGAGAACAAGAGAAGAUGGCUGGAUGGUUGCCGGACACCAGAGAUGAAGAAAUUGAACCUCUACCUCAAGAAAUGAGAGGAAUACUGAGAACAUCAGACCCAAAGAUUUGAUGUAUGGUUCAAAUUCAUGAUCUAUCUUCUCCAAGUGUUGGCUUUCUCCUCUCUGAUGAUGACCUACUAUGUACAUUCUGAAUGUCUAUGGAGUUAACUAAACUUACUUCUCCAAGUAUUUGGCUCAGUGAUUUCCAUCUCCAUCACCAGAAACCAAAAGGCAACACAAGCGUUCUCCUCUGCGGAGUUCCUCAGCAUCUCUGGAGAGACAAAUGAAAACUAAAGACAUCAGGUAUGCUUAUCAUCAUUGACCCUGGCUUCCGGAUUCCUAUUUGGUCCUUGGAUUAACUUCCCUCAUGCGGUCCCUGAUUGCUUUUAGAGUCGGGUCAUGUGGAAAUGUUUGUUUUUGUAGCAGGAAUAAUAGGUAUAAAUUAAACCAGUAAUACCUGGCA